UGCUGGAGGUAUCAGAAGUGCGAAUGCUGACAUAAGUAACGAUAAAGCGGGUGAAAAGCCCGCUCGCCGGAAGACCAAGGGUUCCUGUCCAACGUUAAUCGGGGCAGGGUGAGUCGACCCCUAAGGCGAGGCCGAAAGGCGUAGUCGAUGGGAAACAGGUUAAUAUUCCUGUACUUGGUGUUACUGCGAAGGGGGGACGGAGAAGGCUAUGUUGGCCGGGCGACGGUUGUCCCGGUUUAAGCGUGUAGGCUGGUUUUCCAGGCAAAUCCGGAAAAUCAAGGCUGAGGCGUGAUGACGAGGCACUACGGUGCUGAAGCAACAAAUGCCCUGCUUCCAGGAAAAGCCUCUAAGCAUCAGGUAACAUCAAAUCGUACCCCAAACCGACACAGGUGGUCAGGUAGAGAAUACCAAGGCGCUUGAGAGAACUCGGGUGAAGGAACUAGGCAAAAUGGUGCCGUAACUUCGGGAGAAGGCACGCUGAUAUGUAGGUGAAGCGACUUGCUCGUGGAGCUGAAAUCAGUCGAAGAUACCAGCUGGCUGCAACUGUUUAUUAAAAACACAGCACUGUGCAAACACGAAAGUGGACGUAUACGGUGUGACGCCUGCCCGGUGCCGGAAGGUUAAUUGAUGGGGUUAGCGGUAACGCGAAGCUCUUGAUCGAAGCCCCGGUAAACGGCGGCCGUAACUAUAACGGUCCUAAGGUAGCGAAAUUCCUUGUCGGGUAAGUUCCGACCUGCACGAAUGGCGUAAUGAUGGCCAGGCUGUCUCCACCCGAGACUCAGUGAAAUUGAACUCGCUGUGAAGAUGCAGUGUACCCGCGGCAAGACGGAAAGACCCCGUGAACCUUUACUAUAGCUUGACACUGAACAUUGAGCCUUGAUGUGUAGGAUAGGUGGGAGGCUUUGAAGUGUGGACGCCAGUCUGCAUGGAGCCGACCUUGAAAUACCACCCUUUAAUGUUUGAUGUUCUAACGUUGGCCCCUGAUCGGGGUUGCGGACAGUGUCUGGUGGGUAGUUUGACUGGGGCGGUCUCCUCCUAAAGAGUAACGGAGGAGCACGAAGGUUGGCUAAUCCUGGUCGGACAUCAGGAGGUUAGUGCAAUGGCAUAAGCCAGCUUGACUGCGAGCGUGACGGCGCGAGCAGGUGCGAAAGCAGGUCAUAGUGAUCCGGUGGUUCUGAAUGGAAGGGCCAUCGCUCAACGGAUAAAAGGUACUCCGGGGAUAACAGGCUGAUACCGCCCAAGAGUUCAUAUCGACGGCGGUGUUUGGCACCUCGAUGUCGGCUCAUCACAUCCUGGGGCUGAAGUAGGUCCCAAGGGUAUGGCUGUUCGCCAUUUAAAGUGGUACGCGAGCUGGGUUUAGAACGUCGUGAGACAGUUCGGUCCCUAUCUGCCGUGGGCGCUGGAGAACUGAGGGGGGCUGCUCCUAGUACGAGAGGACCGGAGUGGACGCAUCACUGGUGUUCGGGUUGUCAUGCCAAUGGCACUGCCCGGUAGCUAAAUGCGGAAGAGAUAAGUGCUGAAAGCAUCUAAGCACGAAACUUGCCCCGAGAUGAGUUCUCCCUGACUCCUUGA
rnacentral:rRNA from 1 species